UGCAAGUCGAACGAGAGGCCCUUCGGGGUAGUAAAGUGGCGGACGGGUGAGUAAUACGUGGGUAACCUGCCUUUGAGAGGGGAAUAACCAGCCGAAAGGCUGGCUAAUACCCCCUACGCUUCCGGCCCCUCGGGUAAGGAAGGAAAGUCACAUCGUGGAUGUGGCACUCGAAGAUGGGCUCAUGGCCUAUCAGCUUGUUGGUGGGGUAACGGCCUACCAAGGCAACGACGGGUAGCUGGUCUGAGAGGACGAUCAGCCACACUGGCACUGAGACACGGGCCAGACUCCUACGGGAGGCAGCAGUGAGGAAUAUUGCGCAGUGGGCGAAAGCCUGACGCAGCGACGCCGCGUGGGGGAAGAAGGUUUUCGGAUUGUAAACCCCUUUUGGGAGGAAAGAUGGGGUGGGUAACCACCCGGACGGUACCUCCAGAAAAAGCCACGGCUAACUUCGUGCCAGCAGCCGCGGUAAUACGAAGGUGGCGAGCGUUGUUCGGAUUUACUGGGCGUAAAGAGUACGUAGGCGGUUUCGUAAGCCCCUUGGGAAAGCUACGGGCUUAACCCGUAAAGUUCGAGGGGGACUGCGAGGCUAGAGGGCGGGAGAGGAGCGCGGAAUUCCCGGUGUAGCGGUGAAAUGCGUAUAUAUCGGGAAGAAGGCCGGUGGCGAAGGCGGCGCUCUGGAACGUCUCUCACGCUGAGGUACGAAAGCGUGGGGAGCAAACAGGAUUAGAUACCCUGGUAGUCCACGCCGUAAACGAUGGGCACCAUGUGUCGGCGGGUUACCGUCGGUGCC
rnacentral:rRNA from 1 species